UAGGGAAUCUUCCACAAUGGACGCAAGUCUGAUGGAGCAACGCCGCGUGAGUGAAGAAGGUCUUCGGAUCGUAAAACUCUGUUGUUAGAGAAGAACACGAGUGAGAGUAACUGUUCAUUCGAUAACGGUAUCUAACCAGCAAGUCACGGCUAACUACGUGCUAG
rnacentral:rRNA from 1 species